GGUUGAUCCUGCCAGUAGUCAUAUGCUUGUCUCAAAGAUUAAGCCAUGCAUGUCUAAGUAUAAGUGACAUUAUAUAACGAAACUGCGAAUGGCUCAUUAAAUCAGUUAAAAUCUACAGUAUGGUACAACUUACUACAUGGAUAACCGUGGUAAUUCUAGAGCUAAUACAUGCACAAAGACCCGACUUCUGGAAGGGUCGUGUUUAUUAGAUAAAAAACCAACCCGGGCAACCGGAACUUUUGGUGAAUCAUAAUAACUGUACGAAUCGUAUGACUUUACGUCGACGAUGCAU
rnacentral:rRNA from 1 species